CCUACGGGAGGCAGCAGUGGGGAAUAUUGGACAAUGGUGGGAACCCUGAUCCAGCGACGCCGCGUGAGUGAAGAAGUAUUUCGGUAUGUAAAGCUCUAUCAGCAAGGAAGAAAGAAAUGACGGUACCUGACUAAUAAGCCCCGGCUAACUACGUGCCAGCAGCAGCGGUAAGACGUAGGGGGCAAUCGUUAUCCGGAUUUACUGGUUGUAAAGGGAGCGUAGACGGCGAUGCAAGUCUGAAGUGAAAGGCGGGGGCCCAACCCCCGGACUGCUUUGGAAACUGUAUGGCUGGAGUGCAGGAGAGGUAAGUGGAAUUCCUAGUGUAGCGGUGAAAUGCGUAGAUAUUAGGAGGAACACCAGUGGCGAAGGCGGCUUACUGGACUGUAACUGACGUUGAGGCUCGAAAGCGUGGGGAGCAAACAGGAUUAGAUACCCUUGUAGUC
rnacentral:rRNA from 1 species